rnacentral:misc_RNA from 1 species
CCCUCCCCCCCCAAAACAUCCCACUCCAUUUUUGUUUCUUGCACUUUGCCCAGAGGUUUCGUGCCUACAAACGCGAGAAUUUUACCAAGUGUUGAGAAAUUUGUUCAUAAAUCGUCGGUCGACAACGUUGCAAGUCUUGGUGGUUCGUGACGCGUGUCCAUCCGUCGUCAUUU